AAAUAAUCACGCGUGUACGUGGGCGAACUCCAAGCUUUUAGCAAGCUUAUCCUUAAAAUCAGGAAUUUUGCAUAAUUUAAGUUCUCUAAGGAAUUCUAGUUUAGGGGAAAAAUUAAGGAAUUUCAGAAUUCUCGCGAAGGAAUUGUCGCUUGCUCGCGGGAUUGAAAGGUGUGUAAAAAAUUGCACGAAAAAAACUCGCAUGAAAAUUAUAAAUAACAAUCUUUCAAAAUCUUGUAAUCCAAUUUGUUGUCAAAUUAUCCAAACCACAGAAUAGCUUUUACCAAGAAAAAGACAGAUUCCUUAUAAACGAUGACUACUUCAGCUGUAAUGAUUCUACACAGGCUACGAAGCUCGCGUCUGCCGUUUUUACCAACGGCUCAACAAGUCGUUUCAUCCUCUGGGGCUUUUCACUCCUUGCCACAUCGAAUUUCUCUGGGUUUAACAAAAUGUGUUGCUAUAACUAUACCUACUGUCUACAUCGGGGCUGAAAUGGCGAGAAUAUCUGCGUCUUUGCUAGAAGAUUGGAAUAUAUUUGUCCCUGAUGAUGACGACGAUGAUUAGAAUUUAUUGCAAUUAUUUGAAGUUUUUGAUUUGGUAAAUAUUUAUCUUUUUAGAGUCAAUUAAGUCUAUCUUGGGAAUAUAUAUAUGUAUAUAUUCUUGCCCGAUUUCUACUAUAAAGAUGGAUAAUUGAUUUUGGCAGCUUAGGUAAAACAGAUGGUUCAUCUGAUAAUUCAUCCCAGAUGUUCCAUCAUUUAUAGUAUAAACACAAGAUAAAAUAUCCCGACAAAUUAUCUGAGACAUUGAUGACAAUUUCUUGUCUACGAUGAUAUAAUGAAACUAUCAGGCAUGUUUGUUCCCAGAAACAUUACCACUAUAGAUCGCACUAUUCUAGAAUGCUGCUGAUUGAGAUACCCGAACGCACAGCUUCUCGACGAAGGGCCUUCGAUUGAAAUGUUGUUCAAUCCCUUUCAAUCUGUAGGUUUCUGGUGUUUUUCAGACUGUUCGAUUUUUAAUCACGCUAUCCUGGGUACUUCAUGUACAAGCACAUCAACAAACUAUAUCCACCACGCCCCCCUCCCCCAAGAAUAAAUGUAAAUAUCCCUGACUCGUAAGUAAUGUAUAUAUAUCUUUACUUUCCAGGUGAAAUUGAAGUGUCGAGAAGCUUAUGGUUAAUUAAUUUAUUGAACACAAACUUUAUUUUUGUAUACUUCAAUUCAUCAAGUAUUAUGAUGUAAAUAUAGUGUAUCUGGCAAAUGAAAUACAGUGAAAAAC